CCGAGCCCGGCAACUUGCGAGCCGGGAAAAGUUUGCGGCGCCUCCGCGGGGCGGCGCGGCGCGGCGCGGCCCGCCCCUGGCGUCCACGGUCACCGCCGGUGACUUUCUGGACUCGUCGUCAGCCCGGGCCGCGGCGCGGCCGGUGGCGACUGCGGGGAGGGCCAGAGUACGUCCGAGGGCUCCCGCGCAAGGGGCUGCGGGUGAGUUGGCUUUUCCGGCACGAGGGGCUUCAGCGGUCCGGGGUGUCUGGGUUUGGGAGAAGGCAAGGAGAGUGCCUUUUAAUACUUUUUAGAGCAGGCGGGGAGAACAAAUAAAAGUGCGAUUGCUUAAGAGUCGCUGACCUGCCACUGACUUGUGAACCGUAUCGGUGGGAACCUUUUAGGAGCCAGAACUACUGAGGGCCUGUGCGGCGUGGGGGUUGGGAGGUGGAAAGAUUAGAAGGUCGCGCACCAGCCCUGCCUGUAACUGGCUCUGCGUGACCUUGGACAAGUGACUUAACUACUUAGAUCUCCUCAUCGGUGAUACAUGAGGCUAGAGCUACAUGAUCUGUGGUGUCUUUCCGUUUUUUAAAUACAUCUCGGUUUGAGAUUUUCCUUGGGCCUCAGCGUGGUACACGAAUUAUGAACCAGUAGGCCAGGAUAUAUUUACAGGCGCAUGGAUUCACCUUUCAGCCUGCUGAUAAGUAACUUUUAAGUCUGAUGUUUUCAAACAGUAAUAUUUGAGGGUUUGAGAGGGUUUUUUUAGUGAGAAAUAAACUAUCCUUUGCUUUAAAACACUUCUUAAAACUGAUCUACUUUGCUGCACCAUUUGGAGUAGUAGGAGCCAGGCUGGGGACAGAGAACCAAGCCUGAGGGUAAAGUGGCAGGUGCCUCCAGCGAUCCCUUCAUCCCAUCUCUGACUCAAUUUAGGGGGAGAACAAGGCUCUUAUUAUACACACGAGAGAGUAAACAGGGCAGGUGUUUUGUUGUCACUGUUUUUCUGUAUUGCUUCUUUCUACUGAAAACUUUUGUGUGGAGGGCAGUGGGGGAGUAGUGGUCUCUAACUUCUGGCAAAGGAAAAGAAAAUGUCACUUACAACCAAAGUAAGUCUUAAACUAAUGUAAAUCUUCCUUACAGAAACAGUAACACAUAAUGCAAGUACAUCUUGAUCUAAUUUUAAUGAAGGAUUGAAAAUAGCUGCUAUGUUCAGUAUCACUGAUGCCAAGAUGGCUUACUUACAUAAUCUUCUUUGUUGGGAUGUGUUAGUGACGUGUAUAAUUUUGAUAAAUUAUUAAUGUUAAAGGUUUAGUCUGAGAAUGCUUUUGGAAUAUUGUCAUUACAGGUUGUGUUGCAAUACAAUGAAGUGUUAACUUUCCUUUAUAAUGAUAACGUGCAUUUUUUCCCCAAAAAGUGAAAUCAAGCAUUUUCCCUAACCCAAAUUCUUUUAACUAUUAUAUAUUCAUCAGUACAGAAUACAGGAGAAGUUAUUUUGUUCUCUCAAUAAUAAAUUUUCCCAGUUUUGUCAUUAUUUAUGAGCAUGCCUUCUAGGAGUUAGGUGCUCCACUGGACAUUUUCUCUUCUCGUGGAGCUUAUAACAACAAAAGAUGAUUUCUUUUAAUGUAAGUGCAUAAAUAUACUCAAUAAAUACUCACUGGAAAAAAUACCCAGUGCUCAGAUAAGAAUAAUUUAAAAUUCUUUUCGCCCAUCCUUAAAGAGAAUCAUUAUCAUGCUUUAGGGGAAAGAGAGAAGGUGUCAAAGAAAACUGGCAGAAAAACCAAGCUUAAUUCCAGUAUCUAUCCUGAAAGAUUGUAUUUUAAAAUAGGGAUACAGAUUUAGAAACAAAGACAAUUGAUAGGGUUUAUAGGCAAAAGAUAGCAAUACUGAUUUAACAUAAUACAUUUUAUGACCUAGCUUUCUUUGAAGAGCACAAACCUUUGAAAAGGUAUGUUUCGGGAAUUAUCAGUAGUUGUUUACAUUGUGAUUGAAUGUCUAAUUAAAUGGCCAAAUCAUAACCAUAAUAUUUCAAUAGAGUGUUAUCUGAUUUUUAAACUCAUUGUUAAAAUAACAUGAAAUGAACCUUUCAAUGUAGUUGCAUGAAGGAAAGUAUACCUUUUGAAAUCAACUAAAUCUGCAGUUAAAAAAUUAACUCCAAUCUUACACCAAAUAUAAAAUAAGCACUGGAAGUAGCAUCUUUCCAAGAAGGUCUUCACUCUAGAUAAAUGCUAUGUGUGUAGAGGGAUCCUGUGUGGACCACAUCAUGUAUAAAAUAUUCUGAUUUUCCUAAGGGAAAAUAGUCUAUGUAUGUGUAAUAGUCUAUUUGUUGACAUAAGGAAUUUAAGUCCCCAAUAUUUAUAAGCCUGGAAACUUCUGGAAAGCCUUCUAGACUUAUUUAAAAGUAACCACUCAACCUAAAACAUGGCAUUGAUAUUUGAACAACAAGCUGACUUUGUAGAAUGUGCAUUCUCCUCAUAGCAGGUUUGCUGGUUUGGCUGUCUUACAGGGGGUUAGAGCAGUGAAGUGAGUAUGGUCCUUUGACCACUUGUAUCAGAAUCUUCUGUAGCACCUGGCAAACUUCAGACUGCUGGGCAACUUCCUACACUUAAAGGAUCAGAAUGUCUGUGAGCAGAACCUAGAGUCUGUAUUCUUAAUAAGCUUCCUCCCAAAGUGAGAAUUAAUCACACUAAAUUUUGAGAAUUAGAGUUUUCUUGCCAAUGUUUAAUGGCAACUGUUGCUUUCCCCAGGAACAUUUAAAAAGUACUUCUACCCCACCAUGCUCUCUGCCCUGAUCACUUCCUCUCCAGCACCAAAAUUGGUGGUUUCAUCUCUUAGUUGUGGCCAGGGAUCUCCUCACAAGCCACUUCUAUAAGCAAGCCAAAAUACCACCUACCUUCUAAUUAAUAAGCACAGUUAAGCCUGCUUUGGAGCACAGGGCCAAGAGACCCCUUCUACUAUGGGAUAUUCCCACCACCCUCUCUUCCAGUCACCUCCUAAGUCAACUAGAGACAUUAAGUUUCAAGCAAAUAAUUGGGAAUGGACCCCAAGGAGCAGAAGGUGUGAGAGGGAACAGAGCUAGAAUGCAGCAUGGAAACCUAUCCCCUCAACAUAGUUUAACACCCAUAUUUGAUGAUUUUAGUUCUCAAGCUGAUAUUUUGGCAGUCAAGCAAGUGGCUGAACCCAGGCCCCAUGCUGUCUUAUUAAAACUUUCAUUUGCAAACCCAUAAAAUGGCUUCUGUAACCUCUGUAUGCAUAAAACCCCAACAUUUCAGUAUUUUCAUGUUUAUUGAAGAAAAAGGGAAGAGUUUAGGAGAGAAGUUCAAAGCAUAGGCCAAGGGGUCAGCCACACCUGAUACAAAUCCUAGCGUUGCCAUUUAUUAGCUAGGUGACUUUGAGCUGUACCCUCUACCUACCCUCUAUGCUUUAGUUUCCUUACUUGGAAAAUGAGGAUAAUAGUAUCCGCCUCAUAGGAGUUGUUUUGGUAAUUAUGUAAUACACAAAUUAGUGACAGAUAAUAAUUUUCACUCAGUACAUACUCCAUAUAUGUACUUUUAAUUUAUUAUAGUAAUUUUUUAAAAAUUUCUUUUCUAGCCCUGGAGAGUUGCUGUAGAAGAGGGAUAAGAGAGGAAGACAACACAGGAGGAGAUAAGUCACUCUGGAUACAAGGGAAGGUCAUACCACUAUAUAGUAAUUAUUGAGCAGAGGGGAAAGGGACAAGGGAAGGAGUAGACUGCAGUCCAGCUAAUAACCUGGGUUUCCUCAUGUAUCACCCUGGCUCAGGUGCUGUCUCCUCUACCCCCUCCCUUUUUAUACCCCUUUAUUUAGUACUUAAAUACUUUUCUGAUUCACUUUGAGAAACAUUGAUUAUGUUGUCUGCCUCAAAAUGUUAAUCUUGGUUUUGGAUUUUAGGCUCUGUGAUCCUCAACCUUGCAAUGGCUUAGGGGUAGCAACUGUCUCCUCUCUUGGAAUCUAGCCUUUGGAAUUAUUGAAGGGCAGAGAUUUCUGUCUCUGACCCCAAAGGAAUAGAUCCAGAAUCCAUCUCCAAAUUUGCCUUGUCAGAGAAGUGUAUGCCAUCAAGACAUGGCGAUGUGAUCAGACAGGCCACUGCCCCUGACUUUGAAAAAUACCUUUACUUUCUAGAGCUCAUGUACUUUCCAAAGUACUUUGUCUCUCAUUAGCUUACUUUCCCCUUACAAACAGUCCUGUAAAAUAUUAACAUUAGUAGACAGACUCCUACAAGGCCCCUCAAAUCUUGCAAGGCUAUUCUUUGCUAUCUUCACAUUAUUUUUUUUUUAUUUUCCUAAAAUUGAAAACCUUUCAUCACUUUCUAUUUGUACCCAUAUCAAAUGGAGCCUCCUCUGCUUGGCUUAUAUGGUGACCUUAAAACCAGUGUCCUAUCCUACUCUGAAUAUAUUCUCCACAUAGUUGCUGGAACAUGGAACACUUAACCACCGGCCUUAGCCCAUAUUACUUCCCUUAUUAGUGAUGCCUCCUCGAACCGCUCAGAUUCUACCCAUUCUUCAGUUUCUAACUCCUCCUUGGAGCCUUCCUAGAUCAUUAAUUCCUUAAAUGUUACAUCUUGCUCUGAAUUCCAAUGGUAGCCACAGCUAUUUGGUCAAUUAUAACCUGGUAUUAAAGUCCUAAUGGAGAAAAAAUAUAGCAUAAAUUUGAUAAGUAGAAGAAAACACUAGACUAAGUCAGUUUUAGAAGACUUGAUAUCUACUAAAGAGCUGUGGGAGCCAAGCCAGAUUGCUUUACCUUUGUGGUUUAACAUUUUCUGAGUUGUUAACGUUAAGAGUUUGGGGCAGAUGAUGUCGAUGGUUCCUUCUUAUUCUGAGGCUUUGGGACAACUUGACCUUCCUAAUGUCAGAUAGGAUUGGGGCUCUUAAUUGAGUUCUUGGAUAAAAAGGUCAGGAAUGGGCACUCAGUUCCUUCAGGACUUGUUCUAUCCCACAGAUUUCUGAUGCUAAACAUGGCAAUUUUUGAAAGCUGUCUACCUUUUUUGUUAAGCUUUUUAACCACAAGCAUUCAGGGAAGGUUAAUGGGGGUGAGUUAGGUAGCAGGAUGAUGCAUUAAGGAUAAUAAAGAGUCAUUUUGUGAAUGACUUCCUAUGAGGGAAUAAAUAAGGUCAGCUAUUGAAUAAACCAUAAAUCUUAGCAUUUAAAAUUUACUUUGCAUUUCAUCUUCAUUGAGUAGUGCUAUAUAUAAAAUACAGUUAUAUUUUCUUCUUAAUCCUUUCAUAAGUUGAAAAACGUUAAAAUAGUCAAACUGUAGGAUAGACACUAGAUUACUUUCCAUAGUAAUACAUGUUGUAAGUCUGCGUGUCUGUGUGUGUGUGUGUAUGUGUGUGUGUGUAUCAUAUGCACAUUACACUUAAAUUAAGAAGGGUAUCCCUAAGUUAUAAGGUGCCAUUAUACAUUGACCAGAUUUAAGAAGAGUAUCUCUUUAAAAUGUGUUGACAUUUAAUUGACCUUUGAAAAUUCAUUCUGUUAAUCAUACUCAAAGUGCUAAAGCUAUGGUUGACUGCUCUGGUGUUUUUACAUUCAGUCGUGCUUAGCAUAUAAAUUCUUCAGUAUAAUUGUUACUUAUUUAGCAAGAGUUUCCUUUCUUCUUUGGAAAUAUGAGUUGUGUUUUAUUUUUGCAUCUUUUUUUUAACUUUGCUUCAGACUGGAUAGUGUUAGAGGUUUGAAUUGAAAUGCCUUCCUGUCAUUAGUUGUAUGGGGUGUGGCUCCUUAAUAUAGGAGUAAUGGAAAUUUCUUGCUUAGUGGAAGCAUACUUUUCUUCUGGCAGAAGUUUGAGGUGUGCUGCUAAAAUUUAGAGAAGCUUAGCACCUCAACACUACAUAUUUUUAACAUAAUAAAGUUUUGAAAAUCUUUCAAGUCCAUUUAUGUAAACUAAAACUAUCAGUACGAAUACUUCUCAAUUAUUAAACAAGGACUCAGGGGAUUUGUUUUCAUAGUAAACUCUUAAUUAUAUUCCUUGAAUCGCUGUGAGUGGAAUUUAACUUUAUUAUGAAGGAUGUACUUGUUUAAAAAAAUGUCAAAUAUGUUUCUUUUUAAAGCUUAACAUUUUAUUACUAUCACCUAGAGAACUUCUGCGGAAUUGUUUACAAAUUUCUGGGUAUUAAAUUUAUGAAAUCAGUCUGUGGAAAUAAUUUUUAAUAUGGUUCACUGUCUUACAUGUUUCUAAAUUAAUAUUUCUAAUGAUCAUGAAAAAGUAGCUACACUUUUUGCUAAAUGUUAAUAGAAAAAUAAAAACGUAUAAUUUCCUGUGUUUGCUAGCUUAUCUUUGAGAUUCUAGACAUGGUUUGCAAAAUAUUUUUAUCUUAAAAGCUGUUUUUAAAUAGAGAAGAUAAAGUUUAAACCAUAGUUUUUAUUUUCAUGAAGUCAUCUUACACUUUUCACCUGUGUAGCUCCAUAUUUGAGAUCUGUUCUGUUCCCUGUUUUAUAAGUUUUGAUGUCAUGAUAUCCUUUAUUUAUUCACAUAUUAUAAGCAUGGUAAACAGUCUCAUCUCGUGAAACUGACCUUAUUUUCUUUUCAUUGUCUCUCCUUCCACAGUGUCCUUUUUUUCCCUGCCUUUUUCUGUUUCUAGUUUUACAACUUACGCUGUCCUUUUCAUCUCAUUAUAGCCCCACUUCCAAAGGAAAAUAAGUUCUUUUGCCUUAGCCCAAACAUUUAACUUCAAAUUCUAUCCUUUUUUAGAAUAUACAAUGAAGCCUCUUAAGGAAUAUUAUCUAAAUAAUGCAUAAAGGAUGCAAAUGACUGCAGUGCUGAAUUGCAAUGCUGCAAUGCAAUGUACCUGAAUAGUCAGACAU
rnacentral:lncRNA from 1 species